AUCUAGUUGUGGGCUAUGAAUCCCCCUUAAAAAAAGAGGGGGGCGGGCACCACUUCUUUUUAUUAAAAGUUUUCCCUGUAAGGCGAGUGAAGAGGGAAGAGCUCAAAUUGAAAGCUGGUACYUUCGGUAUCCGCGUUGUAACCUCGAGAACACGUUUUCCKUGCGGCGCUAUGGACAAGUUCCUUGGAACAGGAMAUSGUAGAGGGUGAAAAUCCCGUACUUGCCAKGRAUGUACCGUGCUUUGCGAUACGUGCUCUAAGAGUCGAGUUGUUUGGGAUUGCAGCUCAAAAUGGGUGGUAGACUCCAUCUAAAGCUAAAUAUCGGGGAGAGACCGAUAGCGAACAAGUACCGUGAGGGAAAGAUGAAAAGCACUUUGGAAAGAGAGUUAAAAGUACGUGAAAUUGUCGAAAAGGGAAGCGCUUGAAGUCAGCCAUGCCGCUCAGGACUCAGCCUGGCUUUUGCUUGGUGUAUUUCCUGGGUAGCAAGUCAGCAUUKGUUUGGAUCGUCGGAGAAGCAUAGUCGGAAUGUGGCGCCCUCGGGCGUGUUAUAGCCUUCUAUUGGAUAMCRYRAUCYRRAYCRARGAACKCRRCRSGCCUUAUGGCGGGUCUUCGGACACCUUCGCGUAGAGGGGGGGGAAAAAUAUAUGUGAGGGGGGGGGUUCCCCCCCCCCCCAAAAGGGCCCCCCCAACACCAUCGAUA
rnacentral:rRNA from 1 species